rnacentral:rRNA from 1 species
CGCCCCCGCCCGUGCACAGUCGCGAAAACUUUGCAAUGUGCGAAAGCACGACAAGGUUAAUCCGAGUGGUUUCUGCUAAAGAAACCUUUUGUCAGUCCUAGAAACACUAACGAAUAAGGGGUGGGCAAGUUCUGGUGUCAGCCGCCGCGGUAAAACCAGCACCUCAAGUGGUCAGGAUGAUUAUUGGGCCUAAAGCAUCCGUAGCCCGUUUUGUAAGUUUUCGGUUAAAUCCAUGCGCUUACCGUAUGGGCUGCCGG